rnacentral:rRNA from 1 species
UACGAAGGGGGCUAGCGUUGCUCGGAACCACUGGGCGUAAAGCGCACGUAGGCGGAUUGUUAAGUCAGGGGUGAAAUCCUGGAGCUCAACUCCAGAACUGCCUUUGAUACUGGCGAUCUCGAGUCCGGGAGAGGUGAGUGGAACUGCGAGUGUAGAGGUGAAAUUCGUAGAUAUUCGCAAGAACACCAGUGGCGAAGGCGGCUCACUGGCCCGGUACUGACGCUGAGGUGCGAAAGCGUGGGGAGCAAACAGG